rnacentral:lncRNA from 1 species
UUUAAGAAAUUUGAAAAAAAGGAAAUGUUUUGAGAAAUUUGAAAAAAAGGAAAUGUUUUAAGAAAUUUGAAAUAAAGGAAAUGUUUUGAGAAAUUUGAAAAAAAGGAAAUGUUUUAAGAAAUUUGAAAAAAGGAAAUGUUUUAAAUACAAUUUUUUAAUGUUAAACAAAUACUUUUAGAACCCAAUAUCAUAUUUUCUUUCCUAAUGAGAAACAUCUAAAUUCUUAAAGAUAAAAGCUCUUUCUACCAGCAAUAUAUUAAAUAUGUAAUAAAUUAAAGCUGUUAUUUCUUGUUAAACCACUUGAAUGUGCAAUAUUAUAAAAUGUUUUUGGGAAAAGUCCCAUGAGAAAUAAACUAUGAUUUACCACCAAAAAGGAAAUUGGAUGCAAAAUACGUGAGUAGGUCAAUGCUACCAUAUAUUGACAAUAAAGAAACUAUACAAUAUGUUUCCAACAUAAAAUUACUAUUCCUAAUGCGACAUUCCAAUGGUAGAAAAUAAAGAUGAGUGUUAGUGCAUUAUACACUUUAGUUAAGAAUCUCAACUUCUUAUUGUCUGAAAGCAAGACACUAUAAGGUUUAUUGUUAUGAGUGAUAUAUACUUAUGGAUAGGCAGAGUAUUAAAGAAUCUGAACGCCUUAUUGCCUGGAAACAAGACAAAAUAAGGUUUUAUUGUUAUGAGUGAGAUAUGCUCAUGGAUAGUUAUGAGUGAGAUAUGCUCAUGGAUAGUUAUGAGUGAGAUAUGCUCGUGGAUAGACUGAAUAUACAGAUUUGACUUUAUUGUAAUGACUCACCAUGUUGUUUUCAGUAAAAUACUGAAAAUUGAUGACAUUUGACCCCAUUAUUAUGCUUUAAAACAUUCCUGUCAAUAUUAUCAUUCGCUGUUGUUGAUAAAUUGACUAAGGAUUUGACUCAGGAUCAUAAAAAAAGUGAUACAUUUUAUAUUAUCAUGUGUUGAUGUUAAUAUUUGUCUUGUUUCAUUGUUGAUUGUGUUGAUGUUUAUAAAUUAUGUUAAAAUGUGUGAAUGCAAUCUUUUGUGUACUUAAUAUCAAUGGGGAAACAUAUUAUUGGCAGAUUUAUAAAAUAUUCUAAGUUCACAAGAAAAUCCCCAUUUAUUCCAUUUAAAGUGGAAUUAAAAAAAAAGAUAUUUGAG